AGGACGAACGCUGGCGGCGUGCUUAACACAUGCAAGUCGAGCGGAAAGGCCCUUCGGGGUACUCGAGCGGCGAACGGGUGAGUAACACGUGAGUAAUCUGCCCCUAGCUCUGGGAUAGCUCCGGGAAACCGGGAUUAAUACCGGAUACGACCACUUUAGACAUCUGUUGUGGUGGAAAGAAUUUUGGCUAGGGAUGAGCUCGCGGCCUAUCAGCUUGUUGGUGGGGUAACGGCCUACCAAGGCGACGACGGGUAGCCGGCCUGAGAGGGCGACCGGCCACACUGGGACUGAGACACGGCCCAGACUCCUACGGGAGGCAGCAGUGGGGAAUAUUGCGCAAUGGGCGAAAGCCUGACGCAGCGACGCCGCGUGGGGAUGAAGGCCUUCGGGUUGUAAACCCUUUCAGCAGGGACGAAGCGAAAGUGACGGUACCUGCAGAAGAAGCGCCGGCUAACUACGUGCCAGCAGCCGC
rnacentral:rRNA from 1 species